CCUACGGGAGGCAGCAGUGAGGAAUAUUGGUCAAUGGACGAGAGUCUGAACCAGCCAAGUAGCGUGAAGGAUGACUGCCCUAUGGGUUGUAAACUUCUUUUAUAAAGGAAUAAAACGAGGCACGUGUGCCUUUUUGCAUGUACUUUAUGAAUAAGGAUCGGCUAACUCCGUGCCAGCAGCCGCGGUAAUACGGAGGAUCCGAGCGUUAUCCGGAUUUAUUGGGUGUAAAGGGAGCGUAGAUGGGUUGUUAAGUCAGUUGUGAAAGUUUGCGGCUCAACCGUAAAAUUGCAAUUGAUACUGGCAGUCGUGAGUACAGUUGAGGUAGGCGGAAUUCGUGGUGUAGCGGUGAAAUGCUUAGAUAUCACGAAGAACCCCGAUUGCGAAGGCAGCUUACUAAACUGUGACUGACAUUGAUGCUCGAAAGUGUGGGUAUCAAACAGGAUUAGAUACCCCUGUAGUC
rnacentral:rRNA from 1 species